rnacentral:lncRNA from 1 species
UAAUAUUAUUAUGCGCAGAUUUGAGUUCGAUCCAAUGCAAUAUCUAUUUUGAUAGCACAAAAAGCCAUUGUAGAUUUCAAAACCUGGUCUUAAUUCUCCUUUCAUCAACCUCUCCCGGAGCUUUACCAGAUCCGUAUCCGAAUGAUUUUCCAUUUUUAAUCUGUCUAUCCAAGCUGGAAGCGAUCCGCUUACUAAUCCGCAACAUGUUGCUUCAUUCGAUUCCUCCUCCUUUCUUGACAAGGCGUCUGCCACCACGUUUUCUCUCCCUAUUUUGUACACAAUAUCAUAUGUGAAUCCCAGUAAUUUAGUCAAAAAGUAUUGUUGCUCUGGUGAUUGGAUGCUUUGGGUUAACAAAUGUUUGAGACUUGUAUGGUCUGUUCGAAUUAUAAAUGGCCUCCCCCAACAAAUAAUGUCGCCAUUUGCGUAUUGAUUCCGUCACCGCAAGGAGUUCUUUGGCAUAUGUUGCCUUUUUAGUGAGAUCUUCCGGCUAAAAUAGGCUACACCAAGAUGGGUGUUGUCAUCAAAGUUUUUUUUAAUUCAAGAAAUGACCGUUCAGCCACCUCAAGUCCAAAUUCAUCUUUCUUGAGUAUGUCGGUUAGUGGUGAUGUCAUUUGUGCAUAAUUUUUAAUAAAUUUCUGGUAAUAGUCCCAAAAAUGCUCUAACUUGCUUUACCGUUUUGGACUCGAGCCAGUCUGCAAUAGCCUGAACUUUUUCCGGAUCCGGUUUAAUACCUCCUGCCGAUACAAUGUGGCCCAGAUAGGUCAGUGCCGCUAGUCCAAAUUCAUAUUUUGAUAAUCUAGCAAAUAAUGUGUGAUGCUUUAGAAUUUGAAAUACCACCCUUAAAUGUUCAAUGUGUUCCUUCCG